rnacentral:misc_RNA from 1 species
AAGUCGUAACAAGGUUUCCGUAGGUGAACCUGCGGAAGGAUCAUUAAUAAUGGGCUUCUGGCCGUGGGAAUUAGCGAAGGCUGAAAUGCUAGAGUGAAAUGAACCCCACAGAGACGCUGUAAACGUUCAGGGUAGUUAUCCAGGAUUAGGGGAAGUAGGCUGGGGCGAUGUCCUCCGAAACCCUGAAACUAGAGAACCAACCUUGACUCGAGUACACGCGAUCCAACAUUCUUGUUUAAUAUACCUUAGUUGCUUUGGCAGGCCACAGUUUACUGUGUGAGCCCCGGCUUACCGUGCUUG